rnacentral:lncRNA from 1 species
ACUGUUUACUGUACUGUGCUGUAAAUGACAUCAUUAACUCACCCUUGCCCAAAGAAGAAAUUCCUAUUUCAAUCAUACUUUUCUGAGGCAACUUAAUAAAAUGUAGAGUGUAAAUCGAAAACCUGAAAUACAUGCCUUUUGAAAUUUUAAAACUGUCUUUUUUUUUUUUUUUUUUUUUUUGCUGACCUUAAAAUGACAUUCUACAGCCUUUUCUUGGAUUCAUAGCUAUUUAUGUUUCAGCAUAGUAAUCACGUUUCUGUGAAGGAAAUAUUUGCAUUCUUCAUGUGUUGGUGGUAAACAUAGUAAACUAUAUAAACAAAGAAUACAGUGAAUAGAAAUUAAGAUUAUUUUAAAUCAUUUUGAUUUGUAGGACAUUUUAUGCAUUUACAUUUUAUAAAAUGUAUGCAAACACUGAAAAAUGAUUGUAUCCAGUGAAUUAUAAUUUAACUGUCAUAGAUGUGCCAUUGUUUGUGGAAAAUUUUUAAAAUCUACUGAGCCGUUUUCCAGCCUACAGUGCAUGCAGUAUGAUUAACUACAGUCUCUCACCUAUGUAAUAGAUCUCUAGAAUCAUUGCCUCUGACCUGCAUAACCUUUGUACCCUUAGCCUAUUCCUCACUGUUCCACUGAUUUCUACCCUACUUUCUGCCACAGCUCCUAGUAAUUGUGGUUCUAUUCUUUUCUAUGAGCUUCCCUGUUCAUAUGAGUCUUACAAAAAUGAGAUACUACAGUGUUUUCUUGCCUCCUUUGUCUCAUCGUCACUUAGUGUAAGGCAUUCUGUCUAUCUAUAUCGUUGCAAAGAACAUGACCCCACCUCUUAUGGUGCCCGUCUUUACAUAAGGAGUGUUUACUUUACCUCUGAUUCUUUGACAUAUAUGUUGAGUAUUUUCUAAAUAUCUUAUCUUUUAUGAAUAAAGACAGCAUAAACACAGGAAUCCAAACAUCAAUUCUAGAUUCUGACUUCAUUUUCAUUGGUUAUACAGUCAGAAUGUAAAUUUCUGCUAACUUAAUUUCUCACUUUUUGAGACAAUUUCAUAUGAAUUUUUAUAUUUACUUACAUGUCUAGAAAUGUCACCCAGUUUUUGAAAAGCCAAAUCAUGAUUUCCUAACAAUCUGUAAAUGUUCCAAUAACCAGAGGAAAGUAAUUUAUAUGAUCAUGUAGAAUAGUUUUUCAAAGUGUAAUGAAAGAAAGAAAAUGUGAAAUACACUCUUAUUAUUUCUACCACUCCAACAACUGAUGAGGCAAGGUCAUGUAUUCUCCAAUUUAGUUUCAGCUGAGAGUCAUCUAAGGGUAUGCUAUUUUGAGGGAUGGCUCAGAACAAGAUUGGCAUGUGGUCACGUCUGUGAGAGAUUGGCUCGACUGAUAAUUAAUGUGUGACAGCCCUGCACACCAUGGCAGCUCCAAGCCUAGGCAUGUGGUCCUGGACUGUAUCAGAAAAUCAGCCGAACAUGAACCUGGUAGUAAGUCAUAUAGCUAGCCAGAAAACAGGUUUACUCUGAGGUUCUUAUCUCCAGGUUACUGCCCCGUCUUCUUUCUGUGAUGGACUGUGACCUGGAAACAUAAGAUUAAUAACCUUUUGCCCCCCAAUUACUUUUGGCCAGUAUAUUAUCACAACAGAAAGGAACUAGGACAUGUAAAUUCCGAGGAUCUGGAGACCUAUGUGAAACAAUAAAAGUGAGGCGUAUUCAUGGCUUUUCCUGAAAGGCACCAUUGUGUCUUUAAGAAGUCUGUAUUCACAUCCACUCAGGGUGUCUAGUUCAAGUGGAAACUAUGGGAAUUAUAUAUCACAAUGGCAGUAACUUGUGUGGAAAUUAUUGUAUUGAUGUACUACAAGUGGACAACCAGAGCUUAAGAUGGCAGUUGAGUCAUUAUAAACCAGUCUCAUCCUGCUUCAUCUAACAUUUUGUGCUUGAAAGAGUACCAUGAUUUGGUGUAAAUUGGGGAUUCAUACUGGGUUUACUAAUCAUGGAGAAACAGGGGGAAACAGUGAGUAGUUGAGAACAAAAAGAAUUCCCAAGCAAGGAUGAAACUGAGAAUGCACAAGGUUUCUUUCUCACACUUGGUUUUCUUUGUAUGUUAAAAGACGAUACUUACUGUAACUAGCAUGAGAUCAUUUGUAUUGUUCUCAUUGUCCUGAUGAUCAAUAACCAUUUCUUCAUACUGUCAGUACAAGACACAGUUUUAAAUUGAUUAUAAACAAUCAUUAUCCAUGUGUUGAAGCAAUACAUGCGAGGAUCUUUAUUAUACAUCCUCCAUGAAACAUCUCCUUGUAGGUAUUACACUAAGAACAGGAAAGGAAGCAGUUAAAUUGGUCUAUUUAAGCACCACAUGGUUAACAAUUACAGAAUGGCUUCCAAAUGUAUGAAGAUGUUUAAAUCAUCACAAUCACAUUGUAGAAGGUAGUGCAAACACCACCUGGGCAUUAAACAUGCAAUUGUCUUGUCUUCAUCUGUAGAGGACAAUUUCCUCUAAGCAAUCCUGCCCUAUAGAAAUCAAUGAAUUACAACCUGAAACUCCCAAAAUUUCUGAGUUCUUAUGAAAGUAUUGGCAGGAGGCCUUGUUUCCCAAAAAAUAUGCUGUUUUACUAAUUAGAGUAAUUGGUUUUACAAGGUAGAAAAAUUAAAUAGGAAGAUGCAACAAAGUUCUAUUACAGUACAAUGCUUUUAAC